UGCAAGUCGUACGCUUCCUUUUUUCCACCGGAGCUUGCUCCACCGGAAAAAGAGGAGUGGCGAACGGGUGAGUAACACGUGGGUAACCUGCCCAUCAGAAGGGGAUAACACUUGGAAACAGGUGCUAAUACCGUAUAACAAUCGAAACCGCAUGGUUUUGAUUUGAAAGGCGCUUUCGGGUGUCGCUGAUGGAUGGACCCGCGGUGCAUUAGCUAGUUGGUGAGGUAACGGCUCACCAAGGCCACGAUGCAUAGCCGACCUGAGAGGGUGAUCGGCCACAUUGGGACUGAGACACGGCCCAAACUCCUACGGGAGGCAGCAGUAGGGAAUCUUCGGCAAUGGACGAAAGUCUGACCGAGCAACGCCGCGUGAGUGAAGAAGGUUUUCGGAUCGUAAAACUCUGUUGUUAGAGAAGAACAAGGAUGAGAGUAACUGUUCAUCCCUUGACGGUAUCUAACCAGAAAGCCACGGCUAACUACGUGCCAGCAGCCGCGGUAAUACGUAGGUGGCAAGCGUUGUCCGGAUUUAUUGGGCGUAAAGCGAGCGCAGGCGGUUUCUUAAGUCUGAUGUGAAAGCCCCCGGCUCAACCGGGGAGGGUCAUUGGAAACUGGGAGACUUGAGUGCAGAAGAGGAGAGUGGAAUUCCAUGUGUAGCGGUGAAAUGCGUAGAUAUAUGGAGGAACACCAGUGGCGAAGGCGGCUCUCUGGUCUGUAACUGACGCUGAGGCUCGAAAGCGUGGGGAGCAAACAGGAUUAGAUACCCUGGUAGUCCACGCCGUAAACGAUGAGUGCUAAGUGUUGGAGGGUUUCCGCCCUUCAGUGCUGCAGCUAACGCAUUAAGCACUCCGCCUGGGGAGUACGACCGCAAGGUUGAAACUCAAAGGAAUUGACGGGGGCCCGCACAAGCGGUGGAGCAUGUGGUUUAAUUCGAAGCAACGCGAAGAACCUUACCAGGUCUUGACAUCCUUUGACCACUCUAGAGAUAGAGCUUCCCCUUCGGGGGCAAAGUGACAGGUGGUGCAUGGUUGUCGUCAGCUCGUGUCGUGAGAUGUUGGGGUUAAGUCCCGCAACGA
rnacentral:rRNA from 1 species